rnacentral:rRNA from 1 species
GACGAACGCUGGCGGCGUGCUUAACACAUGCAAGUCGAACGGAAAGGCCCUGCUUUUGUGGGGUGCUCGAGUGGCGAACGGGUGAGUAUCACGUGAGUAACCUGUCCUUGACUUUGGGAUAACUUCAGGAAACUGGGGCUAAUACCGGAUAGGAGCUCCUGCUGCAUGGUGGGGGUUGGUAAGUUUCGGCGGUUGGGGAUGGACUCGCGGCUUAUCAGCUUGUUGGUGGGGUAGUGGCUUACUAAGGCUUUGACGGGUAGCCGGCCUGAGAGGGUGACCGGCCACAGUGGGACUGGGGUGCGGCCCGGACUCAUACGGGAGGCAGCAGUGGGGAAUAUUGCACAAUGGGCUGAAGCCUGAUGCAGCAUCGCCGCGUGCGGGAUGACGGCCUUCGGGUUGUAAACCGCUUUCGCCUGUGACGAAGCGUGAGUGACGGUAAUGGGUAAAGAAGCACCGGCUAACUACGUG